CUAUAAUCUACCAUUCUCUCUUCAGUUCUUAUCUUGUUCACAGACCAAGAUCCCCUUCUUCUUCCACAGAUAAUAUCUCUUUCGUCGUUUUUCAUCAUCACAAUCCCUAAAUCAUAAAGCCUUUUGUUUUAUCAACAGUUCAAUAUUGACAAAGUCUAUUAUUAUUUUUUUCUCCUCAAAUUCAACAAAGCCUCGAAGAACCCUAGAAUAGAAAUCCAGUUUUUCUCAAUAAUUAAGUUCAAAAUCUAAGUCAGAAAUUGAAGACAAACCUUCAUUAAAUCUAUUCCAGAAGUUCACUGUCACAAAUCAUAACUUCAUUAAAACCCCUAUCUCAAAUCAGGACGCAUGUAUUAACAAAAAUCAAACAUUGUAACCCUGGAUCUAGUCUUUUCGCUCCUGAAAUCAUCAGAUAAGGUGUUUCCUUUUCUAUUUUCACCUAUAACUUCUCCGAAUGAAGAUAGGGGUCUUUAUGGAUUCAAAGUCUUAAAAUCUGAAGGGUUUUCAUUGCUUCGUUGAUGAAGCUAUCGAAAGGUACGUAUUAGGUAUGCUCUGUAGUGGAUUCAACAGAACUUUGUUGGAAUACUCAUCCCGAUAGAGAAUAUGUGGAGGAGGCUAAUAAGGCGACUAUUAGAAUUCAUGAAUAUCUACAUGUGAGGAGACCGUUGUCUAUUCAGUUAUGGUGUUUUGAGUUUUUGUUUGUUCUGCAUUCAAUUCAUUGUUGUUCACGGGUCUAUUUAGGUAAGUAUACAAUUUGCAUGUGUAUUGUCAAUUAUGGAGGAGGAUCCUAUAAGUAAACAAUGACAGACUCUUUUCUUCUUUUUCUACGUGUUCGUUCAAAAUAAAUAUAUAUAGUUAGGCGUUGAUGAUGUAUGAUGUGCAAGGACAAUAACAAUCAAGCUUUUUAUGCUGGAUUUUCCUUACAGUUUCUGAAUAAAAAUCACUGCCUUUACAAUGCAGUAUUAAAGGCCAAGGGUUUAGUGAGAUGUGUAUUAUCAAGCGUUUAGUGAGAUGAUUUCAAAGUUGAGAAGGAAUGGAAGAUUCAUGGGACUCUUAAAACUAGCCAAGAAAAUGGUGUUGUUGUUGUUGAUUCAUUGGGUUGAAUAGUUAUGGUUUAUAGAUGUCCAAAAUUGUUGGGUUUGUAUCCAAACUCGAAUUUGCAGGUGGAGAAGCUGUGAGAGGAGCUCAAACCAAUCAGGGAAAACUGCAUAGCUACUGUUCGUCGAAAUUCCUGAAAGAAGAGGACAUUUCUUAGUAUGAAUUUCAUGUUCAUUUAUUCGAGCAUUCUGUUGUAGUUUGAGAUUUGGCUAAUUAUAAUUUGUGACCAUUCAACCAAUUUGGAACUGACACAAGGUGGGAUAUCAUUUCUACUUAAAAAUGAUAUGACUUAGGUGUUGAUUAUGCUAAUCAAAAGCGCUCAUCUUUAGCCCUAACCCAAUAGUAUAUGUCACAUUUUAAAAUUGGUUGGUUACAAGAUUUGUAUGACCUGAUCUUGGAUUGUUCUAUGCUAAUUAAAUGCACUUGUUUUUCAUUAAUUAUGGACCUGAUGCUUCCAUUU